rnacentral:rRNA from 1 species
CUACGGGCCGCAGCAGUGGGGAAUAUUGGGCAAUGGGCGCAAGCCUGACCCAGCAACGCCGCGUGAGGGAAGAAUGUCUUCGGAUUGUAAACCUCUGUCCUGGGGGACGAAAAAAAUGACGGUACCCAAGGAGGAAGCUCCGGCUAACUACGUGCCAGCAGCCGCGGUAAUACGUAGGGAGCAAGCGUUGUCCGGAAUUAUUGGGCGUAAAGGGUGCGUAGGCGGCGCUGUAAGUCAGAUGUGAAAUCCCCGGGCUUAACUCGGGAGUUGCAUUUGAAACUACAGUGCUUGAGUAAAGAAGGGGUAAGUGGAAUUCCUAGUGUAGCGGUGAAAUGCGUAGAUAUUAGGAGGAACACCAGUGGCGAAGGCGACUUACUGGUCUUUUACUGACGCUGAGGCACGAAAGCGUGGGGAGCAAACAGGAUUAGAUACCCCGGUAGUC